rnacentral:rRNA from 1 species
CCUACGGGUGGCAGCAGUGAGGAAUAUUGGUCAAUGGGCGGAAGCCUGAACCAGCCAAGUCGCGUGCGGGAUGAAGGCCCUACGGGUUGUAACCCGCUUUUGUACGGGGAUAACACCCUCUACUUGUGGAGGUCUGCAGGUACCGUGCGAAUAAGGGUCGGCUAAUUCCGUGCCAGCAGCCGCGGUAAUACGGAAGGUCCUAGCGUUAUCCGGAUUUAUUGGGCUUAAAGGGUGCGUAGGCGGGCGAUCAAGUCAGCGGUAAAAUCGCGCGGCUCAACCUGGCCCCGCAGUUGAAACUGGACGGCUUGAGAGCACAACAGGCAGGCGGAAUUCGUGGUGUAGCGGUGAAAUGCAUAGAGAUCA